UACGGGGGGGGCAAGCGUUGUUCGGAAUUACUGGGCGUAAAGGGCUCGUAGGUGGCCAACUAAGUCAUACGUGAAAUCCCUCAGCUUAACUGGGGAACUGCGUCUGAUACUGGAUGGCUUGAGUUUGGGAGAGGGAUGCGGAAUUCCAGGUGUAGCGGUGAAAUGCGUAGAUAUCUGGAGGAACACCGGUGGCGAAGGCGGCAUCCUGGACCGGUAUUGACGCUGAGGAGCGAAAGCCAGGGGAGCAAAGCGGG
rnacentral:rRNA from 1 species